AACGAACGCUGGCGGCAUGCCUAACACAUGCAAGUCGAACGAUUGCCUUCGGGUGAUGGUGGCGCACGGGUUCGUGACGCGUGGGGAUCUGCCCUUGGGUUCGGAAUAACAGCUGGAAACGGCUGCUAAUACCGGGGGAUAUCACCGGAUCAAAGAUUUAUCGCCUUGGGGUGAGCCCGCGUGGGAUUAGGUAGUUGGUAGGGUAAAGGCCUACCAAGCCGACGAUCCAUAGCUGGGCUGAGAGGCUGAUCAGCCACACUGGGACUGCGACACGGCCCAGACUCCUACGGGAGGCAGCAGUGUGGAAUAUUGUACAAUGGGCGCAAGUCUGAUCCAGCAAUGCCGCGUGAGUGAUGAAGGCCCUAGGGUUGUAAAGCUCUUUUACCCGGGAAGAUAAUGACUGUACCGGGAGAAUAAGCCCCGGCUAACUCCGUG
rnacentral:rRNA from 1 species